rnacentral:rRNA from 1 species
GAAGAACGCUGGCGGCGUGCCUAAUACAUGCUUGUCGAGCGGACAGAUGGGAGCUUGCUCCCUGAUGUUAGCGGCGGACGGGUGAGUAACACGUGGGUAACCUGCCUGUAAGACUGGGAUAACUCCGGGAAACCGGGGCUAAUACCGGAUGGUUGUUUGAACCGCAUGGUUCAAACAUAAAAGGUGGCUUCGGCUACCACUUACAGAUGGACCCGCGGCGCAUUAGCUAGUUGGUGAGGUAACGGCUCACCAAGGCAACGAUGCGUACCGACCUGAGAGGGUGAUCGGCCACGUGGGACUGAAACCGGCCCGACUCCUACGGGAGGCCAUAGGGAAUCUUCCGCGUGGACAAGUCUGACACACGCCCGGAUGAUGGGGUUUUC